GUAAGAUUCCAUGGUUGUAUCGAUGGACCAAGGUUAACUACGGGAACAAUCAUCAUCACUACCAUUACCACAGCCGUGACAAAGUGCGGGUCCAUAUUUUACUAAAAAUUGUCUGGCACUGUAAAAGCUUUUCAGUCAACUAGAAGCUACCGAAUUCUAUUGUUGUCAAGGUGAAAGUUUAAAUUUUAAUCAUUAAGAUUGGCAGAGUCCAGCCAAACAAAUGCAGGGAUGUUGACACUGUUACUUUUCAAAAACAAAAGGCUUUAUAAACAAUAAGAUGCAGAGACACAGAAAGUAACCAAAGAAAAGUUCUUUUGCAUUCUAGAUGUAAAGCAAUGGUGUGUCUCAACAAAAAGGCAAGUCACA
rnacentral:misc_RNA from 1 species